rnacentral:lncRNA from 1 species
AGGUAUCAAUCAAACCAUCCUCAAAACAAUCGAACAUCAACAUACGCUGUUCAUCCUUUUGUUAGCUAAUAGCUAUAGGCUGUACUUGAAAAAAAGAGAGCAAUUAUUGCUUUUUUUUUGUCCACUACGGGCCUCGCCCGAAUUUCAUUACCAGCGAGCAAUGAAAUUACAUAGUUAUGUAUCGCACGUUUAGAGAAAGCGUUUAGAGAAAGGAGAUUACAUAUCCGACUAUAGCUUCCAGCGAGAACGACGCAAAGGGACUUCUGGCUGGAAGACAAAUCCAUGAGGAACAAACUCUAUUGCUCCUGGAAGACAAAUCCAUCAGGAACAAACUCAAUUGCUCCUGAAAUAAAAACAGAUUAUAGCUUAACAAAAGGAAAAGAAAAGGGAUUUGAUCGGUUUGUUCGUGUGAUCCUGUCAAGCAGGCCUAAUUGUCAAAAGCAAAGAAAAAUGUGCACAAGUUAGCUUAGACGCACAGGAAAGUAAUAGUUUGGUGGUUGGCCGACCUUAUCGAUCAAUCAAGUUGAUUUGGUUGGCUGAAUGUGACCCUGUCAAGCUUUUGCUUUACUGGCCUAGUCACGUCGUGCACACACACAGGCACAAAAGCCAAACACAAAAAAUAAAACAGUGCCUUGAGCUGUCCGUCAUCCGUUUGUCCGUCUCCAUCUCGAUCUGUUCGCCGUGUUGAAUCAGUCUAAUACUGUAACCUUAAUCUAAUCCGUGUGCCGACCUCAACAGGUG